GAAAUCUUCAUACUAAUGUUGCCAUUUAAUACUGUAGACUUAAAGCAAAAGCAGUCAUUAAUUUUAAGUUUCAACACUUGGGCCCUAGUGCUUUAUUAAACUUUUGGACUUUAACCCAUGCUUAGAUCAUUUCAUUUGAACCUAAAAAAAAACGAGCAAACGCAAACACACACACACACACACACACACACACACACACGCACACACACGCGCACACACGCCCCAAGAUCUCUGAAUCGGUGGCGCACAGAGAAUGUUACGGCCACGAAGCUGCUCUGCACACCCUCAGUGGUGGCCCAGGUCCUGGCACAUUUGUCCAAACCCUAGACUUCACGGCAGCAGAGUGAACCCUGACGCACACUGUGGACUUUGGGCGAUGAAGGUGCGUCCACGCAGCUCACCGACUGUAACAAAGGAGCAGAGAAGAUGCAGUUACAGAAGACAGCUUCAGAGAAGUGAGUCAAGCGUGGAAAAAGCCAUAAGGAAAGGAGGCCCUUUCCAAGGAAGUGACAGCAGAUUCGCGAACGGAAUGACUCACACGCUGCUCUCCAACUGCGGCUGAGUCACUAGGAAGCCCUUAAACCUCGCGGCCCGAGUCCUCCUUCAGGAAUCCACGCUGAGCCUGUGAGCUCCGAUUCACCGGCCUCGCGGAGCCUCGCCGCGGCCCCAGCCAGUCACCGUCUGCAAAACACCACUUGGAAGUGCUUGCUGAAAGGCCUGAUUCAACUCCAGGUUUCUCCUGAGUGAAUCAUGAGGCUGGAUGGUAUAAAUAAUUAUAAAUGCAUUAGAAACAGGCGUUGAUUAAAAAUAUAGAGAUGACGCCCGGCCAGUGGGGCUCAGUGGUUGAGCGUCGACCUA